AGAGUUUGAUCCUGGCUCAGGACGAACGCUGGCGGCGUGCUUAACACAUGCAAGUCGAACGAGACGAUUGAAAGCUUGCUUUUGAAAGUCGAGUGGCAAACGGGUGAGUAACGCGUAGACAACCUGCCGUAAAGAUGGGGACAACAGUCCGAGAGGACUGCUAAUACCGAAUGUUGUGGAACUCCCGCAUGGGAGCUCCACUAAAGAUGGCCUCUACUUGUAAGCUAUCGCUUUACGAUGGGUCUGCGUCUGAUUAGCUAGUUGGUGGGGUAACGGCCUACCAAGGCGACGAUCAGUAGCCGGUCUGAGAGGAUGAACGGCCACAUUGGAACUGAGACACGGUCCAGACUCCUACGGGAGGCAGCAGUGGGGAAUCUUCCGCAAUGGGCGCAAGCCUGACGGAGCAACGCCGCGUGAGUGAAGAAGGGUUUCGACUCGUAAAGCUCUGUUGUCGGGGACGAAUGUGGAGAUGGUGAAUAACCAUUUCCAAUGACGGUACCUGACGAGGAAGCCACGGCUAACUACGUGCCAGCAGCCGCGGUAAUACGUAGGUGGCGAGCGUUGUCCGGAAUUAUUGGGCGUAAAGGGAGCGCAGGCGGGAGGUCAAGUCUAUCUUAAAAGUGCGGGGCUCAACCCCGUGAGGGGAUGGAAACUGGUCUUCUUGAGUGCAGGAGAGGAAAGCGGAAUUUCCUAGUGUAGCGGUGAAAUGCGUAGANNUUAGGAGGAACACCAGUGGCGAAGNNGGCUUUCUGGACUGUACUGACGCUGANGCUCGAAAGCNNGGGGAGCGACAGGAUUANNNACCCUGGUNGUCCACCNCNNAACGANGAAUGCUAGNGUAGGAGGUAUUCG
rnacentral:rRNA from 1 species